GACGAGCGCUGGCGGCGUGCUUAACACAUGCAAGUCGAACGGAAAGGCCCUGCUUUUGUGGGGUGCUCGAGUGGCGAACGGGUGAGUAACACGUGAGUAACCUGCCCUUGACUUUGGGAUAACUUCAGGAAACUGGGGCUAAUACCGGAUAGGAGCUCCUGCUGCAUGGUGGGGGUUGGAAAGUUUCGGCGGUUGGGGAUGGACUCGCGGCUUAUCAGCUUGUUGGUGGGGUAGUGGCUUACCAAGGCUUUGACGGGUAGCCGGCCUGAGAGGGUGACCGGCCACAUUGGGACUGAGAUACGGCCCAGACUCCUACGGGAGGCAGCAGUGGGGAAUGUUGCACAAUGGGCGGAAGCCUGAUGCAGCAACGCCGCGUGCGGGAUGACGGCCUUCGGGUUGUAAACCGCUUUCGCCUGUGACGAAGCGUGAGUGACGGUAAUGGUAAAGAAG
rnacentral:rRNA from 1 species